GACGAACGCUGGCGGCGUGCUUAGCACAUGCAAGUCGAACGGUUAAGCGCCUUCCUUUUUGGUGGGUGUGGAUGAGUGGCGAACGGGUGAAUAACACGUGAGUAACCUGCCCCCUUCUUCUGGAUAACCGCAUGAAAGUGUGGCUAAUACGGGAUAUUCUGGUUCUGUCGCAUGAUGGGUCUGGGAAAGAUAUUGUUUCGGUGGGGGAUGGGCUCGCGGCCUAUCAGCUUGUUGGCGGGGUGAUGGCCUACCAAGGCGGUGACGGGUAGCCGGCCUGAGAGGGUGGACGGUCACACGGGGACUGAGACACGGCCCAGACUCCUACGGGGGGCAGCGGUGGGGAAUAUUGCACAAUGGGCGCAAGCCUGAUGCAGCGUCGCCGCGUGAGGGAUGGAGGCCUUCGGGUUGUGAACCUCUUUCGCCAGUGAAGCAGGCCUGCCUCGUUUGUGGGUGGGUUGACGGUAGCUGGAUAAGAAGCGCCGGCUAACUACGUG
rnacentral:rRNA from 1 species